CAGCUCAGUUCCGAGCGCGGCCUCCUUCUUCGCCCAGCCCUCCUGCACGUUCAGUCCCGCGCUGGAACGCGUUCUUCUCCCAAGUCCAGACCCCACUUCCUUGCACAAGUGACCUUCUCCAGGAGAGAGGGAAGAUGGGAAAGUUGGCAGACAGCUACAAAUCUCCUUAAAAAGGAGUCUCUUCAGAAUUUAGCAAGAGCGGUGACCCAUUUUGUUGCUGACUGGGUCCAUACAGGAUUAUUUACGUAUGCUUGAAACUUCAAAAGUCUACCUGAUGUGUCUAGGUGUGGGUCUCAGUUUUAUCAUUUAUUAAUUGAUUACGCAAAGAUUUAUUGAGCAUGUACCAUGUUUUCACAGUAAUUUCGUGGGCCCUUUUGUCAUGAAGACUCGAGUCUUUCUUUAGUUUAGGGACAUCUUUCUAUAAUUUAUUUCAUUAUAGUCUCUUCCAGUGGAAUUUUCACAGUUAGUUUAUUUGAUCUCCUGGAUCUGUUUCCAAGUCUUGUAUAUUUUUGUUUACCAUCAUAUUAAUCUCUUUACCCUUUUCAUACAAAUUCCAUAAAUAUUGCUUGAGCCAGUCUUUUAAAUCUCUGUAGUAUCAAUCUGUAAGUCAUUGUCUCCGUAGGUUUACCACGUUGAUUGCAGGGCUCCAGAUGGCUGUAAGGUACAGGCAGGGAGCUCUGUUUAGCAGGCAAGUGUGGAGCCCUCAUGAAUGGUAUUAGUGCCCUUAUAAGAAGAAACACAAGAUCUUGUUCGCACUCUGUGCCAUGUGAGGUACAAUGAAAAGAUGGCUGUCUGCAAACUAGGGAGAGGGCUGUUCCUGGACACUAGAUGUACUGGCACUUUGAUCUUGGCCUUCCCAGCCUCCAGAACUGUGAGAAAUAAAUGUUUGAUGUUUUAGCCACACAGACUAUGGUAAU